UGAAAGGCCCAAGUGCCGUGUGGCAAAAGUGC
rnacentral:piRNA from 1 species